rnacentral:lncRNA from 1 species
UUCUUGAGGCUAGGAGGUGCUUUUUGAUGUCAAUUAAUUUCUUCCCCUGGAAAAGUCACAUUAGAAAGCUGUUUUAUUAAUUCAGAAAUUGAUUUAGAAAUUCAGUAUCAGCAUAGUCAGCAGUUUCUGACUUAUGAAAAAUAGUGAGACCAAUAAGUAAGUGCCCAAACUAUAUGAACCAUCUUAAUUAGCAUUUUAAAAAUACUCACUUGAAGAGAAGAUUGUAAAAAGAUUAGUAUCCAUAUGAUUUUAAGAACUGGAAAUACUAAUGAAUAAUGAUUAAGCAAAAAAGGUAUGUGUGUAUACAAAUAUAUACAUGUAUAUAUGCAUGAACUAUAUUCAUUUUUAAUUUUUAAGGCUCUGUAAUAUUCAGAGAUUAAAGGGUUAUUUCUGUUGAUAGGU